rnacentral:lncRNA from 1 species
CCGUCUCUUUCAUUUUGGUGUGGAAUGUGAGGCCUCCAUUGCUGAGUACUUUCACCACUGUGAUUGAGGAAAUUUUCAUUUGCUUUCUCUAAGGAAGUGACAUAUAAGCUGAGCCUGAAAGAUGAAGAGGAGCAGAUUGUAUGCAGAGCAGAGGGAAGAGCAAGCUGAUGGAGGUGACUAAUCAGAGGGCCUGAUGGUCAAGUGCUCAAGGUGGAGUUAAAGGAAACCCUGCUUUCUUGACAUCACCAGCUGCUCAGAAGCCUUCAGCAGGCAUCCUAGACCUUCUCCUUCUCUAAGGGAUGGGCCUCACCUACUUUCUUCAGCUGAGACCUGGCACAGACCCUUGGAGCUUCUAAGGACCCCAUUGUAGCCUUGGGGUGGAGGCCCAUGGCACCACUGCCCUCUCCCUGGGAUAAAGGUCCUGGGGCCACUUCUCAGGGCUGUGUCCCUCUAUCAGGAGGGUCUCACUUUGUCACCCCACCUGGAGUGUAGUGGCGCAAUCUCAGUUCACUGCAGCCUCCGCCUCCCAAGUCAAGCGACUCUCCUGCCUCAGCCUCCUGAGUAGCUGGGAUUACAGGCAUGCACCACCACACCUGGCUAAUUUUUGUAUUUUUAGUAGACGCAGGGUUUCGCUAUGUUGUCUAGGCUGUUCGCAAACUCCUGACUUCAAGUGAUCCACCUACCUCACCCUCCCAAAAUGCUGGGAUUACUGGCGCCUUGCCUAAAGUUGGUAUUCUAAUUUUCAAAUAAGGAAAUUGGAGCUCAGAAGGUUAUCCGAUUUUACCAGGGACACACAGUUGACAAGCAGCAGAAUCAGAGAUGGAACUCAGAUCUGUGCAUGUCCAAAGUUAGUGCACUCAACCACUUCCCUGUAUGCUUCUAUGGAUCAAUCAACAUUGAAACAAUUUUUUCUUGGUCUCCAGCCUUUAAAAACAAGUCUCUUUAAGCUGAGUAACUGACUUAAAGUAAUAGGUGCAUGGAAUCGGUGCUAUUUGUCCAAACUGCUCCCAUCUCUUCCACACUGAUCUUGUUCAAGUUCUCAAACAUGACAAUAUUUUCUGGAUGCUUUUCAAAUAUAUCAUUUUACAUGUUCGAAAUCUCUUAAUACCACUCAGGAGUGAGUAAAUAUUAGCAGCCAUUAGUUAUGGAGUAGUAAACUGAGCUAGAAAUAAGAUGAAUGACAAGUUCUAGAACGUAACAGCGGUGGGAGGUGUCUCAGCAAAGCAGCAAUGGAGCCAAUAAAGGUUUAUGGACUCAUAAGUCCACAGUAAGAAAUGUCCUACAUGCAGUGUAGGACUCAGGAAGUUGAGACCUCAGAGUGCUUGCUUGGUUUUGAACUCCAUAUCACGGAACCAUAAAUACAUACAUAGUCAUAUGCAUGAGUCCUCAGGUUCUAGUAACUGAUUCACAAACUCUUCCUGGAAGUCCUUUGGUAAUAAAUAUCAGAAUUACGAGCAAUGUGUUUUCUAAGUCAGAACAACACACUGUAUCCAAUUAGUCUCAGCGAAGUCCCAGUAAAGGAAUUUCAUCCAAUCUGACUCAGAACAACACGGUGGUGACAUCAGGUCCAAUACAGACCCUGCAGAGAAAAUGAAUGGGUGGGGAUAGACUGAGCACAUGUGCACUUUUCUGGGUCCCUCCUCUGCGGCGCAGGCCACAGGCAGUCCUUUCUAGUAAAGCCUGUGUGAAACCCUGGUGGUGAAGGAGUCUUAUCUUGACAGCUUCCGCUGUAUCACAACAUUCACAACAGUAUGUCAGUAAAAGGCAAAAAGAAACAACCCAAUUAUAUUGAACCACAGAUGUGUAGAUGUGUACACAGAUGUUCCCCCCCAUCCCCACUCCAAAAAAGGAAGUUCCCCGGAUGUCUUGCUCCGUAGCAAUUGUCACAUGCAUUUUAAAGAAAUUCAGCAUCUUUGUGUCACAUUCUCAAGAUAGUUUCAAAUUAACGUUUGACUACUUGAGAGGCUGAAGUGGGAGGAUUGAUUGAGGCUAGGAGUUCAAAGCCAGCCUGGGCAACAUAGUGAGACCCCCAUUUCCAAAAAAAAAAUAAAAGAGUAAAAAAACAGUUAUCUUCGGCAUUGGAGUCAAUGGGGUGUAUGGCUAAAUAUCAGAAACACCACACUUCCUUAGCUAACUUUACUUAGAGAUAUUUGUUCUGAUUCAAGCUUUGUUCUUUUAUUCCCUUUUAUUUAUGAAUUUAUGAAGAGCACAGAUACCAUUUACAUAUUUGUUUUUAAUGUAUUUUCAAAAUUCUGACUGAAAAGUAAAAACCCCUUGCCUCCAAUUUGCUUCAGUUUGUUGGGCAAAAAUAGGUCUCCUUUUCAUCACUGCUUACACAAACCAUUUUAUUAAUAAUUUAUCACAAUGUUCCACAGCAGAGAUAAAGCAGACACCCACAUGAUCAUUAUGUGUUCAUAAUGUGGGCUCUGCAGUGUCUUAAAUUUCCCUGCACCUGCUGUUACCUGCUCGCUCCCUUCUCUCUAAGGUUUGCAUUUGCUGUGAUGCUGAUAAGCUUUAGCGCCACACUUUUCACUGCCUGGAUAGGUAACUGUUGACUAGGAAAAGCAGACACAGGUUGCAUCAUGUGUUGCCACGAUCUUAUUUUCACCCUCCUUGAACUAACUGCAGUCAAGAGAAUUUGCCCUACAGAUGGGUGAGAGUUUUCACAGUGCCCUGGGAUCCUCCAAUUCUUGGGUCCUUAGUCUUCCUCGCCAGCCUCCCCACUCCCCUCACACACAGUUCUUUCUUUGCUCUGCUUCUGAAGACAUUUGAACCUGUUCUAAAUCCCUCCCCUUCCUUCCAUAAAGAGAGCUUCCUUAGAUCAUUUUUCUCAGCCUUUCUCUGCUUGCUGAAUUUAAACCUUGGCACAAAGGUCACAGGCAGACAGAAGGCACUUUGCUGAAUAACUUGUGUUUGAACUUCUAGAACAGUUACUUUGGGUUUUUU